CGCGCAGGUGGUCCACUAAGCCCGGCGUGAAAGCCCCCGGCUCAACCGGGGAGGGUCGUCGGGGACUGGUGGACUUGAGGGUGGCAGGGGCUGGUGGAAUUCCCGGUGUAGUGGUGAAAUGCGUAGAGAUCGGGAGGAACACCCGUGGCGAAGGCGGCCAGCUGGGCCAACCCUGACACUGAGGCGCGAAGGCGUGGGGAGCGAACG
rnacentral:rRNA from 1 species